GUUCGAUCCAAAAGAGAUGCUGGGCUUGAAACCAUGGAACCAUGAUGAUUGUUUAUUGGACAAGAAGCGAAGCUUCGAAGACGCCUCUGGAAAGUUGAAAAAAGACUUAUCACAAACUUUGCCUUUGCUUUUAUGGAGUGGCCAGCCUAAUGACGAAGAUGAUGACAAUAGAGAAAAGAAGAGACUUAACUCUUGUCCCCUUACCAAAAUUAAUGAAGAGAUAGUGGAAGAGGAUGAUCAUGUAGUGGGUUGGCCACCCAUUAAAUCAUGGAGGAAGAAGGUGCUUCGCCAGCAAAAAGCUCCCCGGAUUUUCAAGAAUCGCCUGGCUGCUGCUGCUUCUUGGAAAGAAAAUAAUGGUGGGUUAAAUUCCAAGUAUGUAAAGGUGAAGAUGGAAGGAGUGGCCAUAGCAAGGAAGAUUGAUCUAAGGCUUUUCCACUCUUAUCAGACACUUACAAACUCCUUGAUCACCAUGUUUGACAAAUGCCUAGAACUUGAGAAAGAUAGUACUGCAAAGUACACAUUGGCAUACCAAGACAAAGAUGGAGAUUGGCUACUUGCAGGAGAUGUUCCAUGGCAGAACUUCAUAAAGUGUGUGCAGCGUCUGGAGUUACUGAGAAAUGAGUGAAAGUGUUGAAGCAGUGCAUGAGCCAGUCCUAGAAGGGGGGAAAAUAAUAAUAAAGAUUUGUGGGAUAAGCACAAUUAGCUUAGUUAAUUGUUCAGUUAAUAAUUUUGUACUUGUUACUGUUGAAUGCAUUUUGAGUAAUUUUGUAUGAGAACUCAAGUUGGAUCUUGGGGAAGGCAUUAGCCACCAACUCAAGAAAUUAUUUUUGUAUGGAUUGUAAAAUGGGCGUAGAAGGAUACUUGGUGAAU
rnacentral:misc_RNA from 1 species